GGCUGCAACAACCCCGUGGAUGGGGAAGCCCAGGCUGAUCGGCCGAGUCGCCGAUCCCGCUUGGCGCUUCAGCGCAUCCACUGCAGCC
rnacentral:sRNA from 1 species